CCCUUGGAUGCUCUGGGCCGCACGCGCGCUACACUGGUCGAUGCAACGAGUUUCUUUCCUUGGCCGACAGGCCUGGGCAAUCUUUGAACAUCGAUCGUGAUCGGGAUAGAUUCUUGUAAUUUUUGAUCUUAAACGAGGAAUUCCUAGUAAACGCAAGUCAUCAGCUUGCAUUGAUUACGUCCCUGCCCUUUGUACACACCGCCCGUCGCACCUACCGAUUGAAUGGUCCGGUGAAAUCUCCGGACUGGCGUGAGUCGGAGCAAUCUGACAAACGCCGGAAAGUUGAUUAAACCUUACCAUUUAGAGGAAGGUGAAGUCGUAACA
rnacentral:rRNA from 1 species